UCGGUGGAUUCACUUCACACAGACAUGCGUGACACUGCCUUGCUCUCAGACUGAGCAUAGGAAAGUGAGGCAGAGCCAAAACCCCAGACGAAAUUAUGGAAUCCAACAGCAGAAGACACCUGUGCUCCUGCAACUAAGUAGAAUCCUGGUCCAGGAAGUGUGUGCUGCACCAUUGCAGGACAUCUUCUCCUGUUACUAUUAUCACAAAAUUCCUGGCAAGAUAUAUAGGGAAAACAUCAUUAUUCUCAUUCUUUUGAAGAGGAAAAGAGGCACAGACUUGUUCCACAUCCCCUAGCAGUCUCAGAAAUACAGAAUUGAAGCCUCAAACUGUGUUCGAGUAUGUGUGGGUACUCUGAAUGAUGGCUGGAGAUAUGAAGACAUAUGGCUGCCUUUUCCUUGGUGAAGUAGAGAAUGAGAUGUACUGCUCAGUGCCUCAGCAGGAAACAGAUGACAUGGUCGAAGUUGAUACUUUGAGGAGAUUUUAAUAAAGGAACUAUCUACAAAAGAGUGCUCAGAAUGUAGGGAAACCACAAGACCUAGUGGAGUUCUCUAGGUGGCAUCCGUGAGGAACCAUUACCAUGCAUAGGACUGAGUGAGCAAGAGGAUGAUGUGGUUAUUAGAACAGGGAGAGAAAAGUCUGUGUGGAGAGACCAUGUGAAAGGAGCUUUAGCAUUUGACCAAGGGACACAGCAGCUUGUAGUGACCCGACAAGGUGGGGGUCCAGGGAAAAAAAUACCUUGAUCUUACUCCUCUCUCUCCAUUCCUCUGAUCACCUGCUGAUGAUUCCCUUUGGCCAAACCCGCCUGGAAGUCAGAGGCAAGGAUGCCUAUUAAUGGAGUCAAUACCAUUUUGUUUCAUGAGGUAAGAACAGGGAGCAAACGAGUGGAACAGAUCUGGAGGAGCAAACGGAAGAUGUCCUGCACAUGAGGUUUUCCACUGAGAGAGGCCACACUAGAACAGUGUAUCAGUAAAACUUCAGCUUAGCUGAAGUAAUUAAACAAUAAAAAGGAGUUAACGGACAGGUUUCAAGUGCAGUCAGGUCAGGAGGCUGUCUCUCUGCCAUGCUGUGGGACCUGCUUUCCUCAGUGUGCCAACUGUCUACUUAGACUACUUUACUGCAUAGUAGCAAAAUGGAUGUAGCAGCUCCUGACAUUGCACUGGAACACCACACUGACUGGAGAAAGAGAAGGACAAUGUUUCAGAAUUCCCAGCAAAAGUUUUGAGACUCACUCUGAUUGGGCUAUCUUGGUUUAAACACCCAGUUGUGAACAGUAUGGCUAGACUGUGGAGUGCACCAACUGGCUUUGUCCCUGGUGAGUCUGCUUUGUCCCUGAAUAUGGGAAUGAGUUGACUUUCCAUAAACCAUACAGAUUUGGGAACAAAAGUAGGAACUUUGUGAACCAGUUAAGGAGACCACCAAAAGAUGCACACUCAGGUAGAACUGCAAACUGCCACUGUAAAGAAAGGGAGCCAACUGGUGCUAAAAAGUGUUUCAAUCCAAAGUGUAAUCAAAAACUUCACAUUUAGGCUGGGAGCAGUGGCUCACACCUGUAAUCGCAACACUUUGGGAUGCCGAGGUGGGAGGAUCACGAGAUCAAGAGAUUGAGACCAUCCUGGCCAACAUGGUGAAACCCCAUCUCAACUAAAAAUACAAAAAUCAGCUGGAUGUGGUGGUGCGUGCCUGUAGUCCCAGACUUGAGAAUAUAAGCCACGUGCUAAGAUGAUGGAACAGAAAAUCAGAAGCAGCCUGAGUUUCUGAUGACCUUGUGAAUAUGCCAUAUCAGCUGUGGAUGGCCUCCUUCUGACUCCUAAUAUGGAAGAGAAUGAACUAUUUUGUGUCAAAGCUGCUGUAAUUGCAUCUUUGUUAUCAGCAGUUGAGCAAAAUUGCUUAGGGAACAGAUGAUAUUUAAAGUCAUGGAACUGGAUGAGAUCACUUGGGAAGUGAAUGGAGGUAGAGGAGAGUAGAGGACCAUGCCAGAGCCUAUGGAAUUCUAGCAUGCUAAUGUUCAGGAAGAGGAAGAGGAUACAGAAAGAGAUCAGCCAUGAAGGAUCAACUAAGUAACAGGACAACCAGCCUCUGUGGUGUCUUGGAAGCAAGUGAAGAAAAUGUUUGCCAAAUGCUGCCCAUAAGCCAAAUUGGAGGAGAACUGAGAAGCGGCCAUUGGAUUUAGCAACAUGGAGGUCACUGGUUACCCUGAUGAGAGCAAGUUCAGGGACAGGUGGGGAAAAGCCUGAUUUGAAUGGGUAUAAGAGACUGGAAGAAGAAGACAGAAAGUAUAAGCAACUUUUUCAAGUAAUUUUUGCUGCAGAGGAGGGCAGAGACACAGGGCAGUAGCUGGAGAAGUAGGCUCAAAAGAAGUUGUAUUGGCUGGGCGUGGUGGCUCACACCUGUAAUCCAGCAGUUUGAGAGGCCGAGGUGGACAGAUCACUUGAGGUCAAGAGUUCGAGACCAGGUCAACAUGGCAAAACCUUGUCUUUGCUAAAAAUACAAAAAUUAGCUGGGCAUGAUGGCAUGCACCUGUAGUCCCAGCUACUUAGGAGGCUAAGGCAGGAGAAUUGCCUGAACCCAGGAGGCAAAGAUUGCAGUGAGCCAAGGUCACACCACUACACUCUAGUCUGGGCAACAGAGUGACACUCUGUCUCAAAAAAAAAAAAAAAAAAAAAGUCAUAUUUGUUUAAGAUUAGAAAAACAAUAGUAUAUUUGAUGCUUGUAGGAAUGAUCUAAUUUAAUAAUGCACAAAUGAGAAGGUAGAAUUGUUGGUGUGAUAUCUUUGUUUAAGUCAAGUUGCUCCCGGAGUUUCACUCAAAUAAUCACUUUAUUAUGUUUCCAUAACUAACUACCACAUAGCUAACUUUUCCUGGUUCUUUUUCAUUUGUGUAAUUUUUUUAAAAAUCAAUGCAAUGAAUUAAAAUGGCAUAAAUAUAGAAAAGAAUUUUAAAGAGAAUGCUU
rnacentral:lncRNA from 1 species